UAUGCCAUUUUUAUGAGUAUGGCAGAAAUUAAGUGGGUUUUUAAACAAUUUGUUGGAAACCAACAUAAAACAAAACCACUUGUAUUUGUACUUGUAUUGCCAAAUCUCAUUGUUACUGUUUGAUUGUACAACUUGUGACAGUUAGCCUCACUAUCUCCUUUUUGAAAGGCUAUUUUCAUUUUCAGCAUUUUUUUAUUUUUAAAGACAAGAAUCUCAGGUUUGUGGUCAUCGGCGGAGGUGUGUGUGAGUGUUUGAGGUUUACAGUGCAGUUGCAGGUCGUGGUGAAGAUGUGAUGUGUGUGUGUGUGUGUGUGAGGGGAAUGGUGAGAUGGCUCAGGGACUAAGCCUGCUCUUAGUCUGCCAUCUCAGUCAGGAAAGCCUCUGCAGAUUAUCCUCGAGCUGACAGCAACCAAAAUAGAAAGAGCCUGAUUCCCUCUUUUUCUGUGCAUGUGUGCACGCGCUGCCCUUUUUUUUUUUUUUUUUUGUCUCUGUCUGUCUGUCUCUUUCUCUCCCACUCGGUUUCCCUCCUGCUGUCAUUUUUGUUUUAUUCGUACACUCUCCGAAUCCUAUCCUCACAUGGCUUUUGGCCUACUUAUUGUAUUAUCAAGCGUCAGUGUUUCAGGAUGAUAUGUAAAUCUAGCAGCCUCCAUGUCAGAAACGGACUUCGGGUCACUGAGUUUAGGCUCUACGAGUUCAAGAAAACACUUCGACAAUGGCGUAGCAAAUGGCUGUUACAUUACCAGACCCCAAGGAGGCUUUUCUGCGUAAACCUGCUGACCCUGCGCAAGCAAGACAUGCCCGUCUGACUGUAAUAAACCCCCCGUAGGGGGCCCAAGUCUCCCUCUCUCACCUUCCUAAAACACUUCCAGUUGCUGGCUCCCCUCUCUCUGCCGUGGCUCUGACGUCGGAGUCGAAUCUCCUACUUUGUCUUGAUUGUAUUAUUGUAUUAAAUCUGCAAAACACAAAUUAAAACGAAUGUAAAAGAAAUAAACGAUGAAAUGCU